UAUUUAUUUUGUUUAGUAUUUAAGAUAAUAUAAUUGUAUUUUGAUUUUUAUAUCUAGGAUUUCACAUAUGGUAUACCGUCUCGUAUUACUAUCGACCCAAACCCGUCAUAUCAUCUAAUCCCGUUUAGUGAAACUAAACAUAUUUAAUGGAUUUCACCCGUGGUAUAGCGUCUUGUAUUUUAUCGACCCAAACCCGUCUUACCAUCUAACCCCCUUCAAUGAAAUUAAACACUAUUUUGUUAUUUUUGUUUUAAUAAUACUUUAAUUGAAAAGAUAUAUAAUUUAAAUCAAUUUAUUUUUUUAC
rnacentral:sRNA from 1 species